rnacentral:lncRNA from 1 species
GUAGAUAGUUAUCAAAAGUACCAGGAUUAUAAUUUUAUACGCCAGACGCGCGUUUCGUCUACAUAAGACUCAUCAGUGACGCUCAGAUCAAAAUAGUUAAAAAGCCAAAUAAAUACAAAGUUGAAGAGCAUUGAGGAUCAAAAAUUUCUAAAAGUUGUGCCAAAUAUGGCUAAGGUAAUCUACUCCUGGGGUAAGAAAAUCCUUAGUUUUUCGAAAAAUUCAAAGUUUUGUAAACAGAAAAUUUAUAAAAAUGACCAUAUAAUUGAUAUUCAUGUCAACACCAAAGUGCUGACUACUGGGCUGGUGAUACCCUCGGGGACGAAACGUCCACCAGCAGUGGCAUCGACCCAGUGGUGUAAAUAGUUAUCAAAAGUACCAGGAUUAUAAUUGUAUACGCCAGACGCGCGUUUCGUCUACAUAAGACUCAUCAGUGACGCUCAGAUCAAAAUAGUUAACAAGCCAAAUAAAUACAAAGUUGAAGAGCAUUGAGGA